GAAAGAAAAUUUCUUGUGAGUGUAAUAAUAUAUUAUUACCUAUCUGGAUAUCAAUUCAGUUCUAAUAACACGUGUUGGUGUAUGUACAUUGUACACGUAUGUAGCAGACGUUGGGGACCGCAGCCACGCAGCAAUAAUUUUGAAUAAUACUAUUAGAUUUAAUUUUGAUUUCCUGUCAUCGCAUUCGCGCUCAAACAGAAUAAUUACUAUUUACUAUUAUUUUACAAUCACGUGUGACGUCAUAUCACGACCGCGGGUGCGGUGCAACAGGCAACUAUAUAGCCGCUGUCGCGAGCCGCCGUCAUCGUUACCUGUAUCCUGGUGAAGAGUCCUGGAACAUUAAAUUCUAACACACCUUGAACGAGUGAUGUAUACAAGUAUUUGCGUGUACACUGUACACAGGGGUGAAUCAAAUGAGUAUAAUGUUGGAUCAAUAGUGCCCGAAUCAACAAGAUGCACACUUGUACAGGAAAGACUGGAUGACGGCAGCUAUCUAAUAUUAUGAGUACCUACCGUCUAAAAAGAACAUCUAGUUGAAAAAAUAAGCUCAACAAGAAAAUCAACAAAACAAGGUGAGAAGUGGGUACCGAUCUGCUGUAAAGUAGGUAUCGAGUGGGUUGCUGUAAUGGAUGUGUUUAACUUGAAUUCAGUGAUUUAAUAUCAUUGUAUCAACUUAUUUUACUCAUAGGUAUUACAGGCAGGUUGAUUAAUUUUUUUCCAAAAACAUUGCAUUUAUUUUACUAAUUAGUAUUUAAUUAUUACAAUAGAGUAUAUUUCUAUCAUGCUACAUAAUUUGUAUUUAUUAACUUUUGAAGCAAUACCAGUUUAACAUAGAAAAGUAUGAAUAUGUUCAUGGACUCUUGGUAUAAAUAGGUAAUGAGCUUAAAAUUAAUCUAAUUAAUCUAAAAUAUUUUGAAAAUAUAAUUCUAUAUAGUAAAAUUUAUAAAAUUCGUAAACGUUUUAAGACUUCAAGAAGAAUGUUUUUGAAUUACAGCACAAUGACUAAUAUCGUUAUUUUUUUU